AACGAACGCUGGCGGCAUGCCUAACACAUGCAAGUCGAACGAGACCUUCGGGUCUAGUGGCGCACGGGUGCGUAACGCGUGGGAAUUUGCCCUUUGCUUCGGAAUAACAGUUAGAAAUGACUGCUAAUACCGGAUGAUGUCUUCGGACCAAAGAUUUAUCGGCAAAGGAUGAGCCCGCGUAGGAUUAGGUAGUUGGUGGGGUAAAGGCCUACCAAGCCGACGAUCCUUAGCUGGUCUGAGAGGAUGAUCAGCCACACUGGGACUGAGACACGGCCCAGACUCCUACGGGAGGCAGCAGUGGGGAAUAUUGGACAAUGGGCGAAAGCCUGAUCCAGCAAUGCCGCGUGAGUGAUGAAGGCCUUCGGGUCGU
rnacentral:rRNA from 1 species